AUGCGGGGCCGCCCUCCCUCCUACCUCAGUCCCCGCGCGGCUGCCGGCACAACCUCGCAGCGCCUCAGUGCCCAUCCGGCCGCCGGCAUGGCCCGGCACGCAGCCGGCUGCCUGCUGCUGCUGUGCUGCGCUCUGCCGCUGGGCUCUGCUCGCGCCACCCCGCCGAGGACGCCGUCGUUCGGCGGGCGCGUGGCAGAGAACCGCCCGGCGGGCACGCGCGUGGAGGGGCUCAGCGUCCCCCUGACGCGCCUGGGCGCCCUGCCGUGGUGCGCCCAGGUGCGGGGCCGCCGCUGGCGCCUGCAGCUCCUGGGCGAAGGCCACGCGCACUUCCAGGCGGCGCUGCACGCCCGCACCGCCCGCGUCUGGCUGCGCACCCGCCGCCCGCUGGACCGGGAGGCGCGCCCGCUCUACUCCCUCCGCCUGGCCUUGCGCUGCACCCGCCGCUCCGCCGCGCCCGCCGAGCCGCUGGCCGCCCUCACCGUCCGCGUGCUGGACGCCAACGACAACGCCCCGCGCUUCGUCGGCGCCCGCCCCGCGCGACUCCGCCUGGACGAGACGCUGCCGCUCGGCUCCGCCGUGUGGCGGGCGCGCGCCGAGGACGCGGACGCGGACGCCAACGCCGAGCUGCGCUACUUCGCCCGCCCGCCCAGCGAGCACUUCUUCGUGGUGCCGCGUAGCGGGAGCGUGCUGCUCGUCCGCUCCCUGCUCCACCUGCGCGCCCCCAUCCCGCUGCGUCUCUACGCGCGGGACCGCGGCCGCCCGGCGCUGCUCAGCGCCCCGCUCGAGCUCGAGGUGCUGCCGCAGGCCAAGCGUCUGCCCCCGGCGCCCGGCCCCGCCGACGGCCCUCAGCGCCGCCGCCGGACCCCGCCGUUGUCGCUGUCAUCGCCGGUGCCCGAGGACGCCCGCCCCGGCCGUCCCCCGGGCCGCUUUGAGCCUGCGGCCCCGACCGUCGAGGAGUCGGCGCUGCCUGUGGAGACGCAGAGCGGCGUGGCGCGGCCGGCUGCCCGCCUGCACGGCGCCGGGACGGCCGGUGGAGAGCGCCUGGGGCGCUUCCCGGAGCGGCAAGAUGGGUGCCGGGCCCCCGUCCCUGCAGUCAGCCCCUCUCUUGGUCACCAGCCUCGUGGUCCGCCUGCCGGUAGCGCUAAAGGUGCCCAGGACCGCAGUUUGAGGAGCAGGGACCCGCAGCUGUGUCGUGGCAGUUAG
rnacentral:lncRNA from 1 species